UAGAACUCUAAUUUUAUGCCAUGUGUCUAGAAUCUGAAAUUGAAGUUGAAUUUUGCAUCAUGUGGCUAAAUGUUGGGCACCUAUAACAAUGAAGAAAGCACUGUUGUGGACCGAUGGAUGAUACUUUUUGUAGGCUGCAAAGGAACUUAGUGAUCAAUGAAAUCUCACGUGAAUUGGAGAGGACCCGGCUGUAGAUGUCUGGAUGGCAGAUGUGAGUCACUAUGUUUUUAAAAUGUUCAGUGAAGGUAAAUGUUAUGAACAAUGUAAAUUUUCCGGAGAGAGAUUUAUUAUUCUAUAUUUACGCAAGUUUGGUCGCCUUCUUGGAGUGGAUCACUCCACCCUGUCUUUCUACUGGAAUUUUUUAUUCAGAUUGUUACAAUUUAAUUCGAAAUUUUAUUUGAGUUUU